UACAGAGACGUCGAGCGUUGUUCGGAUUCAUUGGGCGUAAAGGGUGCGUAGGCGGUGAGGUAAGUCGGAUGUGAAAUCCCAAAGCUUAACUUUGGAAGUGCAUCCGAAACUGCCUUGCUCGAGGACUGGAAGGGAGACUGGAAUUCUCGGUGUAGCGGUGAAAUGCGUAGAUAUCUGGAGGAACACCGAUGGCGAAGGCAGCCCCCUGGGCUAACACUGACGCUCAUGCACGAAAGCGUGGGGAGCAAACAGG
rnacentral:rRNA from 1 species